GUUUCUGUAGUGUAGUGGUUAUCACGUUUGCCUAACCCAUAAAGGUCCUGGUUUGAGACCGGGCAAGAACA